rnacentral:rRNA from 1 species
GACGAACGCUGGCGGCGUGCUUAACACAUGCAAGUCGAACGGUAAGGCCCUUUCUGGGGUACACGAGUGGCGAACGGGUGAGUAACACGUGGGUGAUCUGCCCUGCACUUUGGGAUAAGCCUGUGAAACUGGGUCUAAUACCGGAUAGGACUACGCGAUGCAUGUCGUGUGGUGGAAAGCUUUUGCGGUGUGGGAUGGGCCCGCGGCCUAUCAGCUUGUUGGUGGGGUGAUGGCCUACCAAGGCGACGACGGGUAGCCGGCCUGGGAGGGUGUCCGGCCACACUGGGACUGAGAUACGGCCCAGACUCCUACGGGAGGCAGCAGUGGGGAAUAUUGCAAAAUGGGCGCAAGCCUGAUGCAGCGACGCCGCGUGGGGGAAGACGGCCUUCGGGUUGUAAACCCCUUUCAGCACAGACGAAGCGUAAGUGACGGUAUGUGCAGAAGAAGCACCGGCAAACUAGGG